rnacentral:rRNA from 1 species
CCAAUAGCGUAUAUUAAAGUUGUUGCAGUUAAAAAGCUCGUAGUUGAAUUUCGGGGUUCUACCGUUGGUCGGGCAAUAGUCUGUACUGGUGUGUAGAAUUUCUACCUUCUGGGGAACUAUCAUGUUAUUUAUUUAGCGUGGUAGGAAACCAGGACCUUUACCUUGAAAAAAUUAGAGUGUUCAAAGCAGGCUUACGUCUGAAUACAUUAGCAUGGAAUAAUAAAAUAGGACGGUGGUCCUGUUUUGUUGGUUUCUGAAUCACCGUAAUGAUUAAUAGGGAUAUUUGGGGGCAUUAGUAUUCAAUUGUCAGAGGUGAAAUUCUUGGAUUUAUUGAAGACUAACUUCUGCGAAAGCAUUUGCCAAGGAUGUUUUCAUUAAUCAAGAACGAAAGUUAGGGGAUCGAAGACGAUCAGAUACCGUCGUAGUCUUAACCAUAAACUAUGCCGACUAGGGAUCGGACGAUGUUAAUUUUUCUUGACUCGUUCGGCGCCUUACG